GCUGGAUGGACCAGGACCAUAUUUGAUUUCAUAGAAUUGCUUAGGUUCGAAGAGACCUUAAAGAUCGUUGAGCUCCAGCCCCGCAUUUCAACAUUAUUUUAUGCUACAUAACAAAAUAAAAAAAGGCAAAGUGAAAGGCAUCUCCUCCCUACCCAAAGGAGCAAGUCAGGGAGUGAAGCCUGUGGGUGAAGAUCAAGACUGAGGGAAAAAGGGAGGUCCCUAGAUGAAUCAUGAGAAUCCCUUUUAAAACACACUCAGCUAUGGACAAGAGCAGAAAACUGCAGCAGCUCCAACUUCCACCCAUUGCCUCUCAAAGCCCAGUGGCACUUCCUGAGAGCUUGGGGCCUUCACUUCCGGAGAACAAACCAGAACUGUUUCCACUGUGAACUUUUCUACUUUAAGAUUAGAAUGAAAAGUAGAUAAUUGCAGAGUUGCCUUUUAACAUUAUCUAUGACCAUGUGCAGUGUCAUUAGUAGCCAAGGUUGCUAAUCUUAUGCAGUAAUUCUGUGCUUCCUUUGAAGAAGCAACCUAGAGCAC
ensembl:lncRNA